AUUGAACGCUGGCGGCAUGCCUUACACAUGCAAGUCGAACGGUAACAGGUCUUCGGAUGCUGACGAGUGGCGAACGGGUGAGUAAUACAUCGGAACGUGCCCGAGAGUGGGGGAUAACGAAGCGAAAGCUUUGCUAAUACCGCAUACGAUCUCAGGAUGAAAGCAGGGGACCGCAAGGCCUUGCGCUCACGGAGCGGCCGAUGGCAGAUUAGGUAGGUGGCGGGAUAAAAGCUUACCAAGCCGACGCUCUGUAGCUGGUCUGAGAGGACGACCAGCCACACUGGGGCUGAGACACGGCCCAGACUCCUACGGGAGGCAGCAGUGGGGAAUUUUGGACAAUGGGCGCAAGCCUGAUCCAGCCAUGCCGCGUGCAGGAUGAAGGCCUUCGGGUUGUAAACUGCUUUUGUACGGAACGAAAAGACUCUGGUUAAUACCUGGGGUCCAUGACGGUACCGUAAGAAUAAGCACCGGCUAACUACGUGCCAGCAGCCGCCGCCGUAA
rnacentral:rRNA from 1 species